rnacentral:rRNA from 1 species
AUUGAACGCUGGCGGCAGGCCUAACACAUGCAAGUCGAAUGGUAACAGGAAACAGCUUGCUGUUUCGCUGACGAGUGGCGGACGGGUGAGUAAUGUCUGGGAAACUGCCUGAUGGAGGGGGAUAACUACUGGAAACGGUAGCUAAUACCGCAUAACGUCGCAAGACCAAAGAGGGGGACCUUCGGGCCUCUUGCCAUCAGAUGUGCCCAGAUGGGAUUAGCUAGUAGGUGGGGUAACGGCUCACCUAGGCGACGAUCCCUAGCUGGUCUGAGAGGAUGACCAGCCACACUGGAACUGAGACACGGUCCAGACUCCUACGGGAGGCAGCAGUGGGGAAUAUUGCACAAUGGGCGCAAGCCUGAUGCAGCCAUGCCGCGUGUAUGAAGAAGGCCUUCGGGUUGUAAAGUACUUUCAGCGGGGAGGAAGGGAGUAAAGUUAAUACCUUUGCUCAUUGACGUUACCCGCAGAAGAAGCACCGACUAACUCCGUG